CUUCAGUAGCAGUCGUUCUCCCCUUUACCUCUACAGUCAUUCUCUUCCUCCCCUUUAGUAUCAUCCAUGGCCGACCGCACCGACUCCGAUUCCCGCCGCCACAACCACCACCUCUUUGUCAUGCUGCCGCCCCAGCAGAUCUCCAAAGCCUAUUCUAGUCUAUAUGUCCAAGGUGGAUGGGAGCUUCAAGUUUAGCCCAAUUAGUGUUAAUUUUUUAACAGAGAUUACAAAGGUUUUCUUUGCUAUUACUAUGCUCUUGCUUUAGGCAGCUCGAAACAAUGUGCUUCUUGCUGUUCCAGCACUUCUUUAUGCUAUUAAUAACUAUCUAAAGUUCACAAUGCAGGUAAGAUUCCUAUAUAGGUCCUCUUACCAUAUGUUUACACUUUUAGAUAGCAUGUCUAUCUCUCUUUUUAUCUAUCUGUACAAUAUAAUUUAAUAAUUUUUUUUGAAUAUAGACUUGAUUA